UACGGGGGGGGCAAGCGUUGUUCGGAAUUACUGGGCGUAAAGGGCGCGUAGGCGGCCUUCUAAGUCGGACGUGAAAUCCCCAGGCUUAACUUGGGAACUGCGUCUGAUACUGGAAGGCUUGAGUGCGGGAGAGGGAUGUGGAAUUCCAGGUGUAGCGGUGAAAUGCGUAGAUAUCUGGAGGAACACCGGUGGCGAAGGCGGCAUCCUGGACCGACACUGACGCUGAGGCGCGAAGGCCAGGGGAGCAAACGGG
rnacentral:rRNA from 1 species